CCUACGGGAGGCAGCAGUGGGGGAUAUUGCACAAUGGGGGGAACCCUGAUGCAGCGACGCCGCGUGGGUGAAGGAGUGCUUCGGCAGGUAAAGCCCUAUCGGCAGGGAAGAAGCAAGACGGUACCUGACUAAGAAGCCCCGUCUAACUACGUGCCAGCAGCCGCGGUAAUACGUAGGGGGCGAGCGUUAUGCGGAUUCACUGGGUGUAAAGGGAGCGUAGACGGCCAUGCAGGCCAGGGGUGAAAGCCCGGGGUCCAACCCCGGGACUGCCCUUGGAACUGCAUGGCUGGAGUGCGGGAGGGGCAGGCGGAAUUUCUGGUGUAGCGGUGAAAUGCGUAGAUAUUAGGAGGAACACCAGUGGCGAAGGCGGCCUACUGGACGGUGACUGACGCUGAGGCUCGAAAGCGUGGGGAGCAAACAGGAUUAGAUACCCUUGUAGUC
rnacentral:rRNA from 1 species